UCAACGAAUUACUUGAUAUUACAAAUAUUUUCUUGUUCCCCUCCGAUUUGUUAUAUCGAGGUUGCACUGUAUUAAGCUUUACAUAUUUGUUUUUUUAGUUGCCUAACAACCCUCAAGAGUGGUUAAUGAUGUCUGAUGCAUUCGACGAGUUAUGGAACUUUCCGCAUUGUAGCGGCGCAGUGGAUGGAAAACAUGUAGUUUUACAGGCGCAUGUUAAUAGUGAUACCGAAUUUUACAACUAUAAGGGCCAUUUCAGUAUCGUGUUAUAUGUUUUGGCCGAUGCUAAUUACAAGAUUAGGUUUGUCGAUGUCGGUUGUCAGGGCCGAAUAUCGGAUAGGGGAGUAUGUCAGGGGAACGUCCCUAUUAAGAGUAGGGUCAUUGCACUAUGGUUUUUCUUUUUGGUUACAAAAAAUGUUUAACAAAACUAAACUGUGUAUUUUAAUAAAUAAUAUUAAUAACUGUUUAUGGGCCCAGGCUGCCCAGAGAGAACAGUGCAUAAAAGAAUAAAAAAAACAAAAUGAAUAACCCAGAAGAAAAUACAGAAAAACUUACGAACUCUGACAAUUUCCAGAUUUGGAAAUUUGUGUUAACUAUACAUAUUUCGGCAUCGAAUCUGUCGGAAGUGUUGAAAGAAACAGACCCAGAACGGAGAGAAAAACCAGAAUUCCAAACUAAGGAUGCUAAGGUAAAGAAAUUGAUAUUGAACUCCAUAGAUAGAAAACUAAAAGGUCACAUCAUAAAUUGCAAAAAUGCACAUGAAAUGUACAAUAAGCUAUGUGCAGUAUUUGAAGGAUCUGAAGAAAAAAACCAGUCUUCCUUAUUACAAGAUUUCUUUAACUUCAAAUUUGAAAACCAGAUAAUGUUACAGUUGAUCACAGAUAUAGAAAACUUGAGAAUGAGAUUAAAUAAUCUUAACCAACACAUUGAUGAUGACAUGGUGAUAUCAAAAAUAUUAACCUGCUUACCAAAUCAAUAAAUUCUUCAUCACAGCAUGGGAAUCAAAACCCGAUGUCAAAAAGACACUUACCAACUUAACUAUCAGA